rnacentral:rRNA from 1 species
GACGAAGGAUGCAAGCGUUAUCCGGAUUCAUUGGGUUUAAAGGGAGCGUAGGUGGCCUUAUAAGUCAGUGGUGAAAUCUCUCAGCUUAACUGAGAAAUUGCCAUUGAUACUGUAGGGCUUGAGUAUAGUUGCCGUUGGCGGAAUAUGACAUGUAGUGGUGAAAUACAUAGAGAUGUCAUAGAACACCGAUUGCGAAGGCAGCUGACGAAACUAUAACUGACACUGAGGCUCGAAAGUGCGGGAAUCAAACAGG